GUGGGGAAUAUUGCACAAUGGGGGAAACCCUGAUGCAGCGACGCCGCGUGAAGGAAGAAGUAUCUCGGUAUGUAAACUUCUAUCAGCAGGGAAGAUAGUGACGGUACCUGACUAAGAAGCCCCGGCUAACUACGUGCCAGCAGCCGCGGUAAUACGUAGGGGGCAAGCGUUAUCCGGAUUUACUGGGUGUAAAGGGAGCGUAGACGGUGUGGCAAGUCUGAUGUGAAAGGCAUGGGCUCAACCUGUGGACUGCAUUGGAAACUGUCAUACUUGAGUGCCGGAGGGGUAAGCGGAAUUCCUAGUGUAGCGGUGAAAUGCGUAGAUAUUAGGAGGAACACCAGUGGCGAAGGCGGCUUACUGGACGGUAACUGACGUUGAGGCUCGAAAGCGUGGGGAGCAAACAGGAUUAGAAACCCUAGUAGUCC
rnacentral:rRNA from 1 species